rnacentral:rRNA from 1 species
UUCAUGGAGAGUUUGAUCCUGGCUCAGGACGAACGCUGGCGGCGUGCCUAAUACAUGCAAGUCGAGCGGACCGACGGGAGCUUGCUCCCUUAGGUCAGCGGCGGACGGGUGAGUAACACGUGGGUAACCUGCCUGUAAGACUGGGAUAACUCCGGGAAACCGGGGCUAAUACCGGAUGCUUGAUUGAACCGCAUGGUUCAAUUAUAAAAGGUGGCUUUUAGCUA